GAUGAACGCUGGCGGCGUGCCUAAUACAUGCAAGUCGAGCGAACAGACGAGGAGCUUGCUCCUCUGACGUUAGCGGCGGACGGGUGAGUAACACGUGGAUAACCUACCUAUAAGACUGGGAUAACUUCGGGAAACCGGAGCUAAUACCGGAUAACAUGUUGAACCGCAUGGUUCAACAGUGAAAGACGGUCUUGCUGUAACGUAUAGAUGGAUCCGCGCCGCAUUAGCUAGUGGGUAAGGUAACGGCUUACCAAGGCAACGAUGCGUAGCGGACCGGAGAGGGUGAUCGGCCACACUGGAACGGGACCACGGUCCAGACUCCUACGGGAGGCAGCAGUAGGGAAUCUUCGGCAAUGGGCGAAAGCCUGACGGAGCAACGCCGCGUGAGUGAAGAAGGUCUUCGGAUCGUAAAACUCUGUUAUUAGGGAAGAACAAAUGUGUAAGUAACUAUGCACGUAUUGACGGUACCUAAUCAGAAAGCCACGGCUAACUACGUG
rnacentral:rRNA from 1 species